ACUCCCCUCCUUCCUCUAGUCACACUGACUUUUCAGCUUCUGCUGCAGAGGAAUCUGGUGUCAUGGAAGAAACAUCCUUGACCGCCAUCCCAGAAGACUUCUCAGAGACAGUAUGUAGACAGUGGCGAAUGCUUGACCAAUGGGGGUGGACCCCAAUGUCAGAUGCAUAGAUCUUUCCAGCAAGCUGGAAGAAACUCUGAGAGGGGAAGUGACAUCAUGACUGGGCCUCACUCCCUGCACAACUCAAUACCUGGAAGAAACGUCUGGAGGACAAAGACUUUGAACUGGGCAGUGUGGUCCCAAGCUGGAAAGGAGUCUUAGCCUGUAUAUUGAGGAACUAUACCAUCUGUCAGGACAGGCUGGAGCCUACAACUAGGACUGCCUGGGGUGUAAUCAAAGAGACCCUGCCCCACCCUACAGCUGGGAUAUAUAAACGCAAAGAGGAAGCUAAAGACAAGGGA